UGGGGAAUUUUGGACAAUGGGCGAAAGCCUGAUCCAGCAAUGCCGCGUGUGUGAAGAAGGCCUUCGGGUUGUAAAGCACUUUUGUCCGGAAAGAAAUCCUUGGCUCUAAUACAGUCGGGGGAUGACGGUACCGGAAGAAUAAGCACCGGCUAACUACGUGCCAGCAGCCGCGGUAAUACGUAGGGUGCAAGCGUUAAUCGGAAUUACUGGGCGUAAAGCGUGCGCAGGCGGUUUGCUAAGACCGAUGUGAAAUCCCCGGGCUCAACCUGGGAACUGCAUUGGUGACUGGCAGGCUAGAGUAUGGCAGAGGGGGGUAGAAUUCCACGUGUAGCAGUGAAAUGCGUAGAGAUGUGGAGGAAUACCGAUGGCGAAGGCAGCCCCCUGGGCCAAUACUGACGCUCAUGCACGAAAGCGUGGGGAGCAAACAGGAUUAGAUACCCUGGUAGUCCACGCCCUAAACGAUGUCAACUAGUUGUUGGGGAUUCAUUUCCUUAGUAACGUAGCUAACGCGUGAAGUUGACCGCCUGGGGGAGUACGGUCGCAAGAUUAAAACUCAAAUGAAUUGACGGGGUCAUAGCUGUUUCCU
rnacentral:rRNA from 1 species